rnacentral:misc_RNA from 1 species
UUGGUUUGUAACUGGUGGUUGGCUCUCUUGCUUGUGCACAACUUCCACCUGACAUGCCUAUUCGUUAAAGCUUCGAUUGUCCGAACAAAAUGUGGGUUUCCUGUGUUGCCUGCCUAACUAACGGUAUUGAUUUGGCUUAUUUAAGUUUCUUUCGUCUUUCGUCAUGCGUGUGAUGUUAGAUGAACCAUAAUCAUGUCUCUUUGAACCACGUCAUUCAUUAAUGCUUGUGUUGAUGUAGUGGUGCAUUGAGCCUUGCUUGGUCUCUUUGAUGUGGUGCUUGAUGUGGGAAUGGGUCAGUUGGGAUCCUUGUUAUGUCCCUGAUUAGUGUUUACGCUCUGUAAAAUGACUGCUUGACACGUGUUGGCUGGUAAUAGCGUGUUGGGCUUUGUCUAAAAGGAAUGUUACCUGGU